rnacentral:rRNA from 1 species
AGAGUUUGAUCCUGGCUCAGAACGAACGUUGGCGGCGUGGAUUAGGCAUGCAAGUCGAACGAAUCCCUGGGGGCUUGCUCUCAGGGGGAAGUGGCGAAAGGGGCAGUAAGGCGUGGGUAACCUACCUCGGGGAUCGGGAUAGCCGUCCUAACGGACGGGUAAUACCGGGCGAUGUAGCGAAGGGGCAUCUCUUUGCUACGAAAUGAAUUUCGCCUCGAGAGGGGCCCACGUGGUAUUAGCUUGUUGGCGGGGUAACGGCCCACCAAGGCCAAGAUGCCUAGCGGGUGUGAGAGCACGACCCGCGCCACUGGCACUGCGACACUGGCCAGACUCCUACGGGAGGCUGCAGUCGAGGAUCUUCGGCAAUGGGCGAAAGCCUGACCGAGCGACGCCGCGUGUGCGAAGAAGGCCUUCGGGUUGUAAAGCACUGUCGAGGGGGAGGAAAGCCCGCAAGGGUCUGACCUAUCCCUGGAGGAAGCACGGGCUAAGUUCGUGCCAGCAGCCGCGGUAAGACGAACCGUGCGAACGUUGUUCGGAUUCACUGGGCUUAAAGGGCGCGUAGGCGGGCCGUCAAGUCUGUGGUGAAAGCCCCCGGCUUAACCGGGGAAGUGCCGCGGAUACUGGCGGUCUCGAGGGGUGCAGGGGCAUGUGGAACUUCCGGUGGAGCGGUGAAAUGCGUAGAUAUCGGAAGGAACGCCGGUGGCGAAAGCGACGUGCUGGACACCUACUGACGCUGAGGCGCGAAAGCCAGGGGAGCAAACGGGAUUAGAUACCCCGGUAGUCCUGGCCCUAAACGAUGGGUACUAGGCCGUGGGCUUGACAUGGGCUCACAGCCGAAGCAAAAGUGCUAAGUACCCCGCCUGGGGAGUAUGGUCGCAAGGCUGAAACUCAAAGGAAUUGACGGGGCCCACACAAGCGGUGGAGCAUGUGGCUUAAUUCGAGCUAC